GACGUAGGGGACGAGCGUUGUCCGGAUUCACUGGGCUUAAAGGGUGCGUAGGUGGGUUGGUAAGUCAGUGGUGAAAUCUCCGAGCUUAACUUGGAAACUGCCAUUGAUACUAUCAAUCUUGAAUAUUGUGGAGGUCAGCGGAAUAUGUCAUGUAGCGGUGAAAUGCGUAGAUACGACAUAGAACACCAAUUGCGAAGGCAGCUGGCUGCACAAAUAUUGACACUGAGGCACGAAAGCGUGGGGAGCAAACAGG
rnacentral:rRNA from 1 species